GCCUCCUUUUGUACCACAUCAGACUACUGUUUCUCCUUCUUUCUUUAGACUCUCCAGCUUAAGCUUUCCGUUUCCUACCUUGCCAUUAUAAGUUACAACACAGACAAUGAAUUAGUGUAACACUAUAACGUUUCUCUCUAGGAUGUAUAUAGCUACCCAUGUCCUUCCUUCCACCAUCAAUGGCAAUCUCCUUCUCCCAAGUCCCAACUGUGCUUCAAAUCCAAAUAUACAUGUAUGCUUCGCUACUUCCUACCUUCCCAAAGCUCAAGGUGAAGGAGAUUCCCUUUCGAUGUAGCUUUAAUGAACCAAACACACAUCUAAGAUUUGGUGGGUAAAGUUUCAAUAUCGUUUAUCUUCAAUUAAUGAGGAAUUCUCAGUAAGCACGACUACAUGAGUCAUCAGCUCACGUUGACUACGUCCAUGCCCUUUGUAGACACUGCUCAUCACUCUUAUCCAUUGAAUAGUUUGGUGAAGUUUUUGGAUCGUGGCCAUGUGGGUGUUUAGUUGGUAUAUCUUGUGUAGUCUAGCUCCCUAUCCAAAUUUUUGUGCUCUCAAAAUAAACUAAAUGCUAUUGUUAUUUGAGAGAGGUAGAUUGUCUAAUGUAUGCUUA